ACCCCUCGGACGGACAAGAGAACGCCGCGAACUAAAGCAUUUCAGUAACGGCAGGAAGAGAAAAUAACGAUGAUUCCCCCAGUAACGGCGAGUGAAGUGGGAAGCGUCCAACGUUGAAAGCACAUUGUGCGUUGUAACGUGUGAUCUGCUGAUGUCUCGAGGGAGCGCUGCAAACGGAAUUGAAAGUCCGGCCGUGGAGGGUUGAAGCCCCGUGCAGGUAGCAAUCCUAAAAUGAAUUCAGCAGAUCGAGAGUCGGACUAUUUGGGAAUGUAGUCUGAAGCGGGUGGUACACUCCAUCCAAGACUAAAUACGGCUCCGAGACCGAUAGCGAACAAGUACUGUGAAGGAAAGUCGAAAAGCACUCUGGAAAGAAGGUGAAAAGGACGUGAAACCGGCGCGAUACAAGUGCACUGCAGCGUCAAAGUGGGGCUCUCCUAACCAACGAUUUUCAUUCGCUGGAUUUUGGGAGUGUCUCCACGCGCCGGGACCCUCGCUGAGGACUUGUGUGGUGCUAGGCCAACACUCAAACUGUUUAUUCAUUAAGUGGUUGUAUGUUGGCGUGCAAUCCAACUCAAGUCUCCAGCGAGGCAGCGUGGGGCGAUUUGUUGUGAUUGGUGAUUACGAGUGUCAGUGAUGAAAUUCGCAUUUUAUUGGAAACAACAAAACGUCCACCCAAAAACAUGCAUGGCCCGGCGAGACAUUCUGCUGUGCAACCCGUCUUGAAACACGGACCAAGGAGGCUAACGCGUGCGCGCGUCGAGGGGUGCUGAAGCCCUUAGGCGAAACGAAAGUGACUUGUGGGACCACCGUUGAAAGUGGGCACCACACGCCGGUUCCGGAUUGAAGGUAAUCGAGCGAGAGCGCACGUGAUAGGACCCGAAAGAUGGUGAUCUUUGCUUGACCAGAGAAAAGUCAUUGGAAACAAUGAUGGAAGCUCACAGUGGUACUGACGUGCAAAUCGUUCACGCGAGUUGAGCAAAGGGGCGAAAGACUAAUCGAACCAUCUAGUAGCUGGUUUCCUCCGAAAUAUCCCUCAGGAUCGCAAGAGCCGAGCGCCUCAGUUUCGUCGGGUAGAUGAAUGAUUAGAGGCAUUGGGGUUGUGAUCGACCUCGACCUAUUCUCGAAAUCCAAACCGGCGAGUUGGUUGCUUUUUUUUGAUAAAACGACCAGUGAAUGAGCCGGCUCUUAGUGGGCCUUUUUUGGUAAGCAGAACAGGCGAUGCGGGAUGAACCGAAAGUGGAGUUGAGGCGCCCAACUGGAGGCAGACGGAAGCCAGGAAAGGAGUUGGUAAAUUUUGACAAUGAGACGGUUGCCCUGGAAGCAGGUAUCCGUUAAGAAGUGCGUAACAGCUUACUCAUCGAAUUUACUGGCCCUGAAAAUGGAUGGCGCUCUAGCCUCCGGCCGAUACUCCACCUCAGACGCGAAACGAGUCUGGGGGUAGGAGGAUGUUGGGGUUGCUGGAAAGGUCUUUUGCGAGAGAGACUGGAGCAGCCCCAAGUACAGAUCUUGGUUUAAGUAGCACCCAUAUAGAAGCGAGACCCUUCUAGACCAACGUGGAGCAGGGUUCCUUGUGAACAGCAGUUGGACAAGGGUUAGUCGGUCCUGAGUGGCGGCCUACGUGUCGAAUCAAAGCCGGCGUUUUGGUUGACUUUUUAAUAGAGUUGGCUGUGCGUCGGAGUCCGCGAAAGGGAAUCAGGCUAACAUUCCUGAACCGAGCGCGCUCUGGUUUCACCUAAAAGUUAUUUUAAUUUUUAGAGGAGACUGAAUUGGCAACGAGUGGGUCCGCGGAGACUGCUUGGCGAGUCUUGGGGAGAGUCUUCUCGUCUCUGGAACUUUUGUGAGUGGCUGGAGUUGGGUCAUCCAGAGAUAGCCACACAUUAAAGUAGGAGCACUGCAGUUUUGGCAGUGUCCGAGUCGCUUGCUAGGCAACGUGAAAAUCCGCGGACAUGUGAGGAGCGCGUUUGUCCGUACCGAGAACCGCAUCAGGUCUCCAAGGUGUGCAGCCUCUGGUGGAUAGAACAAAGUGGGUAAGGGAAGUCGGCAAAAUGGAUUCGUAACUUGGGGAAAAGGAUUGGCUCCAAGGGUUGGGCUGUUUCGGGCUUGGCUCAAAGUUACUUUCGAGAGCGUGAAAGACGGAAGCGUUUGCCAUGUUUUUCGUGUUUUUGGGGGUGCUCUGAGUUUGGUGCAUCAAUUCUUUGGUUGUUUACAAUUGGAGAGUUGGUUAACCGUGCAGUUGCGAUCAACCAACUUGGAACUGUUACUGACUAGAGGAAUCCGACUGCGUACUUACAGCAUAGCUGUACGAUGGUCGUAAACGACGUUGACGUACAGUGAAUUCUGCCCAGUGCUUUGAAUGUCAAAGUGAGGAGACUCACAGAAGCGCAGGUAAACGGCGGAAGUAACUAUGACUUUCUUCAGGUAGCCAAAUGCCUCGUCAUCUGAUUAGUGACGCGCAUGAAUGGAGCAACGAGAUUCCUACUGUCCCUACCCACAAUCUAGCGAACAAACAGCCAAGGGAACGGGCUUGGUUUGGCGUGACAGCGGGGAAAGAAGACCCUGUUGAGCUUUACUCUAGUUUGAGGCUGUGCGACGACAUCUGAGGUGUAGAAUAGCAGGGAGACGUUUCAUUUGAGGCGUCAGAGUUGAAAUACCUGUCCUUUGAUCGUUGGCGUACACACUCGAUGAAAACGGAGCUGCCCAGCGUUUUUUGGCACUCAUAAUCUGGAUUUCGACUUGUUUGGGUCCAGAGAGCGUCAGAAAGCUGAAAGCAGAUUGGAAAAGCACCAAGGACGGUUUGUUGCUUGCAACGCAUCGUUCGACCGAUAAGAAUCUCGAUUCUAAUUCAGUUCGAGGACAACCUCAAAUGGGGAGUUUGACUGGGGCGGUACAUUCUUUAAAAUGCAACGAGAGUGUCCCAAGGUGAGCUCAUGGUGGCCGGAAACCACCAGUAGAGAAUAAGGUCAAAAGCUUGCUUGAUUUUGAUUUUCAGUACGAAUACAAAGCACAAAAGUGUGGCCUAACGAUCGUUUAUAUUGACCUGAGAGUAAUUGUCAGGAUAGACGUGUCAGAAAAGUUACCACAGGGAUAACUGGCUUGUGGCGGCCAAGCGAUGCCAGCGACGCCGCUUUUUGAUCCUUCGAUGUCGGCUCUUCCUAUCAUUGCGCAGUAGAAUAUAGCAAAGCGUGUGAU
rnacentral:rRNA from 1 species